rnacentral:rRNA from 1 species
AGUCCAGACUCCUACGGGAGGCAGCAGUGGGGAAUAUUGCACAAUGGGGGAAACCCUGAUGCAGCAACGCCGCGUGAGUGAAGAAGUAUUUCGGUAUGUAAAGCUCUAUCAGCAGGGAAGAAAAUGACGGUACCUGACUAAGAAGCCCCGGCUAACUACGUGCCAGCAGCCGCGGUAAUACGUAGGGGGCAAGCGUUAUCCGGAUUUACUGGGUGUAAAGGGAGCGUAGGUGGCAUGGUAAGCCAGAAGUGAAAACCCGGGGCUCAACUCUGUGGAUUGCUUUUGGAACUAUCAAGCUAGAGUGCUGGAGGGGUAAGCGGAAUUCCUAGUGUAGCGGUGAAAUGCGUAGAUAUUAGGAGGAACACCGGUGGCGAAGGCGGCUUACUGGACAGAAACUGACACUGAGGCUCGAAAGCGUGGGGAGCAAACAGGAUUAGAUACCCUAGUA